rnacentral:tRNA from 1 species
GCAGAACGUAGCUCACAAAGAGCGUUGGUCUUGUAAGCCGAAGGUCAGAUAAAAAUAUCUCGUCUGCU